UCUUUUUUUUUUUUUUUUUUAUCUGUAUCAGCUUUAGUUUGAUCUUGCAUAUCAUAUUCUCAAGUACUGCAUCUUUAUCAUGACAUGUUUUAUCGAAUAACUAGAUAUCUAUGUUUAAUAGCUACUUCUACACUUCUACUAUCUUGUGAAUUUUGAAAAGUUGUAUCGAUGAUUUGGAGUUGAGAUAUAACAAUAAUCAUUUGAUUAUAAAUUGAACAAUGAUAAUAAAAAAUUUCUAACAAAAAUUAGACGAAAUAAUAUGUAAAAAGAGGUAUCAAAUAGUAAAUAUUGAUUAAUUAUAUUAAAUAAUGAAAUAUUUCAUAAAUUAAGGGUAUUUUAGGCAGUUUGAGAUGUGUAUUAAGUAUAAUACUGAAAUGAAAAACUUGAUAUGUGGUGUAUUAAGUAAGGGGUGUGUAUUAAGAUAUUAGGGGUGUGUAUUUAAAAUUUCUCUUACAUUAAUAGAUCGGCACCCAUGAUUUUCAGAAAAAAAAAAAUGCUUUUGAAUAUAGAGUAUGUUCAUGAAAUAUAUAGCACUGCUAGGCAUAAAUAGUUGAUAAAAUACCUUUGCUAAACGAAUCUAGAGUAUUUCCAGUAUCAUUUGGUCUAACGGCGUAAUCUCCUUUUAGUAAGUGGGAGGUUGUGAGUUUGACUCACGAAGUUAUAAUAUUCAAGUUGUUUAGCUGAUAAAAAAAACGAAUCUAUACCUAAAUUUGAUUAGCAAAUCACUUAUACAUCCUUCAAAAAGAUUUAAAACACAAAUAAAUCCACUUGUUUUGUUGUUAAACAAAUAAGGACAAUUUUUAACAAUUAAGGACAAUUUUUUCUCUAUAUGCCAUGUGUCAUGAUUUAAUUUACCAAACUAACCCUACACUAAUUAAAUAUACUUUUAGAAGAGAAAAGUUUUUCCUUUUGAGAUUUUUCAGUAAAUAGAAUACAGUAGUAAUUUUCAAUAAUUUAGUGUGGUAGCAGUUAAUUUUAGUAGAAGUAGCAAUACGUAGUAGCAGCAACAUGAAUCAACAACUUACAAUAACAACACACAACAACAACACACACAGUAGUAGCACACAUCAACAACACACACAGUAGCAACACACAUCCACAACAACAUGCAGUGGCAGUACACGCAAUAGCAGCACACAACCACAACACACGCAGUAGCAGCACACAACAGCACACAAUAGCAACACACAACAGCACACGCAGUAGCAGCACACAACAACACACGCAGUAGCAGCACACAACAACAGGCAGUAGCAGCACACAACAACACGUAGUAGCAGCACACAACAACAGGCAGUAGCAGCACACAACAGCACGUAGUAGCAGCACACAACAACAACACACACAGUAGNNNNNNNNNNNNNNNNNNNNNNNNNNNNNNNNNNNNNNNNNNNNNNNNNNNNNNNNNNNNNNNNNNNNNNNNNNNNNNNNNNNNNNNNNNGAGGAGAAGAGGAAGAAGAAGAAGAAGAAGAAGAAGAAGAAUAAAAAUAAUCGGUGUGUUUCUCAUAUUUAAAAAUGGUGGAGAAGUGAUAUUUUAAGUUAGUGGCAGUUUUGUAGAUAUUUUAAAAAAUAAUGAUUUUUUAGGUAUUUUGCAUAAAAAAUUGCUGACAGGACGUGGUACUAUACACUGUAGGCCUAUAUAUAUGUCCUUAUUUGUUUAAAUAUGUUGAAAUAUGGUUUUUCUGUGUUUUGCAACUGUUUAUGAUAGCUAUACAGUAGGCCUAUAUAUAUGUCCUUAUUUGUUUAAAUAUGUUGAAAUAUGGUUUUUCUGUGUUUUGCAACUGUUUAUGAUAGUGGGAUGUUAUUUUCUAAAAUUUGAUCAGACUAUAUUAAAUUCUUGCUAUUGAAACAUAGGACCUCCCAUAUUUACUUUUUGCAGUUAUGCUCUUUGAAUUGCUAAUGGUAUGGAUUUGAUACGAUGUGGUUAUUGGUCAUGCAAGUUGGAUCAAAACCAUGUUAAAAAGAGAGCUCACUGAGAACAAAAGAUUACAAGAUGGAUCAAAACCAUGUUAUUUUCUAUUUACAACGGUAGAUUUCUCCUCUUACAACACAGCCAUACAAGGCCGUUUUUAUUCUUUGUACCAUGCAAAACUCCGUGCCGCAUUACGUUUUUACAUCUCAUCAUGCAUUCAUUUAAGCAAUAGCCCUCUGGGACUCGGAAGACCUUGAAGAGCUCAAAGCAACAGUUUCCUGUCUGUUGUAUUUGAGAUUCCUUGCCUGUUGUCGGUCAAUCUGGUACGCAUUAGCAAGGACACCGUCCGGGAGUGCACGCAAGACUGAGGUCCGGCCAGCCAGAGUGUUAAUCUUGGCAUUGUCCUGGGUCUUGAAGGCAAUGUACUCGUAGCCAUUGUUGCUAGCCUUCUGUAACACUGCGUGGUUCUGUGGCACAAUGAAGAGCUGGCCCUGGCGGACCUCGUUGUCCAAGAUGGCCUGGCCGUUGUUGUUCACAAUCUGAACCCUAGCGCUACCUCUAAUGACAUAGUACACUUCAUGAGCGUUCAAGUUCCAGUGGGGGCUGUAGAUAGCAUUCUGCAUGUAGAAGACAAUUAAUAAGAUACUUACAUGAGCUCAAACAACUAAUCAGUUACUUGAAAUUGACAAAUAUUGAGUAUACUUACGUUGUAGAGGAAGCCUCUCUCAGCGCUGAGGUCAAGGUGCCUGAGAAUAGGCAACUUAAAACUGUUGAGCGUGCUGACGCGACCGGCUUGGGGACUGAAGACAUCGGCGCGUGACGGCCUGCCAAUAUUCUCUUUGAUCCUGAAGUUGCAGAAUGUCUCCUCAAAACCAUUCUGUCCUUGUUGCCCCUGUUGUCUCUGAAUUCCCUGUUCUCGUCUUUCCUCCUGUUGUGACUCUGGUGGCUGGAUGAAAUCGAGACGUCCUCUAACUCUCACGAUUUGGGGUCUGUUGUCUUUCUGUCCCUGAAGCUGCUGGGCAGUCUGUUGGUCAAUGUUCAAAGCAUCAGCGAGGAGCUGUGUGUUGAAGCCUGCAAAGAUGUUGUUGUUUCCUUGUCGUUGUUGUUGCUGGUGCCUGCUCCUUCCUCCUUGCUGUUGCUGGUGCCUGCUCUUUUCUCCUUGCUGUUGCUGGUCCUGGUCCCAUUGACUUUGGCCUUCCGCUUGUUGUCCACGUCCUUGCCGUCCUCGUUGCCUUUGGCUUUGCCCGUGUUGGUUAAACUCAUCUUGUGGAUUACCCGCUAGAUAGAAUCUCUAUACACAUAACAAUAGUACAAUACAUGUAUGUGAUCUGCAGUCAGCAAUGAUAACAAGUAAUCUACCAAUAAAUAUGCAAAUAUAUUUGGGGGUGUAAAUGGACAGUGUGCUCAUUAGUAGAUAUUUAAUUUACCCUAGGGUUACGAUCAAGCUGGUUUUGGUUGUUGCCGAUGUCAAGAAGACUGACAGCAACAAGAGGUUGAUCACCGUCAUUGUAGGACCAGUAGGUGACUCCGGCAGGAAUAGCAACAACGUCACCUUCUCUGAUGCGUCGAACCUUCUGGUGUCUGUCUAGCUGUUCGAAGCUUUCUUGUCCCUGUUGGCCUUGCUGGCCUUGUUGUCUAUGACGGCCAUGCUGUCCACGGUCUUGCUGCUCUUGUUGUUCACGGCCUUGCUGUCCAUGACGCCCUUGCCAUUGUUGUUGACCCUGUUGUUCUUCAUCAGAUUGUUCUGAUUCUUCAAAAGACUCAGGACAGCCAGGGAAUACAGUAGAUAGAAAACCAUUUCCUGCCGUAAUUAUAUGAAUAUAUUACACACCAUAUACAGAUACAUAUUAAUACAUAUCCAACAUUUAUAAUAUUAGAUAGAAAUGGUUCCGGUUACACAGUACCUUGGACAAUAUAUAUGAGCUGUGGUGCGUGGGUGUAAGAAGGCAAGUGAAGGCCAUUUCUUUCAACAGUGAUUCGUUGAACAGCAACACCAGCACACCGGAAGUCGUCCUGGUUGUAGUUCCAGGACUCGAUCCUACCCGCUUCAGUCUCAAUGCGGUUAUCAGGUUCGCGGGCUUGGAUCUGAUCAAGUUGGCACUCAUUCUGCUGGCUCGACUGAGAUUGUUGGCGCGCUGCUAAGCAGCUGUGGAAGAGGACAAGCAAGCAAAGAGAAAAGGCGAGAGCUAUAGGCUUAGCCAUAGUGUUGAUCAGAUAAGUAUAUAGCUUGUCGUGGUGAAGCGGCGAGUAGAAGGUGUGGUAUUUAUACUUUUAUAGGAUAGAGAAGCUGAAGAGGGAAGGAUAAGUACAACAACGUACAUCUGUAAAUAGUCUGAAGCCAUUCUUAUCUUUGCAUGGCAAAAGCAUUUCACAUUCUUACACCUCAUUUCUCCCAGGGCAGGUGGCUCAUGGCUUCAGAGAAGAUACAAAGUGCCUAACAAGGUGGGGUUUUGCCAUGAUUGUCUGCAAGUGAAGCGAAAUUCUACUGCCUUGAACCUGGUCCAAUAAAGAGCAAAAUUUAUGAGAGGACUAAGAUAUGUUCUUACCAGUUUUAGUAAAAUAGUAUUACAUCAGCACCAACCUGAUGAACAUCUUCUAUAAUGUAGGCAAGGUUCAAAAAUGGCUGUUCUUAUCUUCCUAGUAGCCAUCCAUACUCUGUCAUUUUAUGAGUCAAAGUUUAAUAUUUAAAACUUAUGUAGACAUUCCAACAAUAAAACUUAAAAGUUCUUAACUCUAGUUGGUAAUACUUUGACACGUCAAACUUCUUUGAUUUCUUCCAGAAGCAUAAGCAUCUGGUUCUCACGUUGCUAAUCACUUCACCUAUCUAGUUUUCCUACCAAAAAGAAUCUGAUAUAGAUAGAAAAGUUAGCCAUAAAUGUAGGACUUACUGUGAACAAUGUCCCAAUUCCAACCUCAAAGAUUAGAAUCUAAAAGCUCGUAACUCAAAAUUAUACAACAUCAUUAUAUUCACAAUAAAAAGUACUCUGACAUAAGGUUUAGUUCAGUUUAGUGCUUCUUGAAAAAAAAGAUGAAGACUUCAACUGUUCUACAACAUAAUUGUCUAUAUCUAUACUCAAAAUGAUCAAUAAUCGUUUAUCCUACCAUAUUUCUUGUAUGGAAUAUCUUGUUACAUUUUGUUUUCAUAGCAAAAUGUUGCAAUAUUUGAGUGAUAGAUACACUGCCAACAUGGUGUACAAGUUCCACAGCCAAGAUUUUUGGGCUCACGACAACUCUUAAGGCUUAAGAACCAGUAAUGCAUGGUUGAACUAGGGAGCAGCCAUUGCUGAAGGCUCCUCCUCAAAACGAUCCAUUGCUUUAUUACCCCAUGGUUGGAAAACCUGCCAACAGUCAAAAUUUCCUCUUCCCCCGCAGUCGAUAUUUUCUCAUCUCAAUAAAUUUUAUUCAUCCAAAACAUAAAUCCUUUUGUUUAAGUACCCGCCAGUAUAUCUAAUAUCUGUGACAAGCCGAGUGCUGACAGCUGAUAUUUUAAAACUUGGGAUUCCCUAUAGCCCCUCUCAUUAUAACCCCUCUAAUGUUAAAGCUUCUGCUAAAGACACAUCUCUAGUUCCUCGAGCUAAUGCUACAUCCGCAAUGCAAUUGUUCCCAUGCAAUGAUUAGCCAGAGGAAAACUCGAGGAGCUCCCUUGACUCUGAUCAAUUUAGCCUCAAGUCUCGAACUUGUUCUUUGAAAGUCAGUGAAGAGGCUACUUCUUUAACUGGUGAUGGUGCUCAACCAAUGUUAAGCCAGACAGAGGAUAGUUAAGUGAAUCUGGUCGGGAAGACCUAAAAAGAGCAAAACUUCUUGCUUUCCCUUGCUACACAACGAGUACUACUAAAAGGUCGAUUCCAACAAAAGAGCUCAGGAUGUUGUUAUUAAUGGGGUUGGGACUUGAGUUCUCGGGUGGGAAUGUGAAGGUGCAGCAGUUGCUUUGCAACUCUACUUUACUGUCCUUGUCCAAGCUGAUAAGGGUGGGACGACAUUGAACGGCCUUAUUUACAGGUCCUCUAUAUAUUGGAAUACUUGACUGUCUCAGAAAGGACUUGCCAAGUGAUUCCCUAAUUCUAAUGCUCAGACCUCGGCCUAUUUGAAAUGUCUGAUAGAAACUAGUUUGAGGAAUAAUUAGCUUCUUUACCUGUGAGUACAUGUUUCUAUGGAAGGUUUCUGUAAUGCUAGCUUUCCUUCUGCUAUAAGGAAGGUGACCAAGCUUUUAAUCCUAACACCAAAGUUAAACCUUUUCCAAAGAAAGGGGGUCAAAACCUGUAGAAUAUUAUGUAACAGGUUGAACCUAACACAUAAAGUUCAGCAAUCAUCCAUGAUCCAUCUUCUAUCAUAUUUUUACUGAACCAAAGAUUAAGUAAUCAACACUGGCAGUUGUUUAUGUAAGUUAUUCUGAUAAAGAAAAAAGAUCCAUCACUACCCUUAAACUUAUUGUGCCACAAAACACAAAUGACUUCAAUUGUUCCUAUCGCAUAGAAACCAAACUUUUGUCAUUGUUUCUUGGAAUUAUUCUGUACACAUCACUUCUGUGCAAUCAUGCACAAAAUAGAAUCAAAAUACCAUGACAAUGACAAAGGGUUUAAUUCAAUUUGGCACUUCUUACCAACACUAUGCUCCUCCAAAUGGUCCUCAUAGUCAAAGGGACUUCCCCAUAUCCCUUGUUCCAAAAUUAGCUUCUUUACCCAGAAUCAAUCAUCCUACUACGCUCAAAAUAUCUAAUUUCUCAAUACUCUACUGAUUCAAUUGAGUUGAAGACAAAGUAGACAACAAUUAACAGAUCAAAUGUGAAAGUACAUAAUUCAAUAGACUCACGAUUGCUGAGUUGCAGGUCACUGGUUGUGGUGUGUCUGAUCAGCAGGAGCUACGUUUCAAGCACGCCCUCGUGAAGCAAUCUCGUCCCCGACGCGACCUCUGGUAGUCGGAAUAUGCGGCCGGAUAACAUGAUCCGGCGAUCCCGUCUUUCACAUUGUGUUUGGUUGGACAUUGGCGGUUCCAGCAGUUCAGUUACUAUUGGUCUUCACCCUCUCAGCGCUCAACCUCUUCUAGUCUCUCCUUUUAUUCUUGUACUUGUCAGUUGUCACAGUUGCUAUCUAUGUGAUUGUUCCACGUGGAUUUUAUUUUCCUGCAAAUUCCCAAAUUAAUUAUUAUUUUGUCCAAAAUUUCCAGAUGAAUUGUUUGUUGUCUUUGAUGUUUUUUUUUCUUUUGUAAAAAGAUCGUAUGACCCCUUAUAUGGAUAUUUUCAGGAGACUUCUUGCCGCCUUCACGCUGUUCACGUUCCACAUACAUAUAUACAUGCAGCUCAACAUGCUUUUUCACCAACUUCACUGAGUUCUUUGAUGAUUCUAAUCAUUCGAUGGAAUCACAAAAUAGUUAGUUUAUACAACAGAGUUCGUGAGCUGCUUAUUUUAUAGUUUAAUUUUGGCGUGACGUCAUUAGUUAAAGCUCGACGAAGCAUGCUGUUUUUCUUUUCUAUCAAGAGCGUGAUUAGCUGGUUUGGAAAUUUCAUUUCUAUUUUUCUCGUUCUUAUUGAGAGUCAAACUUUGAAGAAAUGAUAGUCAAACUUCGAAGAAAUGAUUGGAGUCAAACCUGAUGAUUACAGACAAGGGGUGAGCUGCUGAUAUGCAAUUACAGCCAAAGCAAAUUACUGACUUAAAUCUAAGGGGCAAAGCUUCACAAUUUAGAUAAAACACCAACUCACCAAGUAUAGUUGAGGCAAAAAGAAAAUUCAUUUAACGAGAAUAUGACUACAAGAACGUAGUAGCUCGUUAUUUACUAGUUUGUACAUAAGAUCUCAUAUCUUCCGAAGAUGCCAUAUAAAGGCCAUUUUUAUUCACUCUACCCUUUAGCUCGCUGGUACCAUAUUCACUAGCUUAUUCACCGCACAAAAAACACUACGUGCGCAUUACAUACAUAUUCAUACUCAGACAAACAUCUCAGCAAUAUCCAACCAGUUCCUGUGGGAUCGAGGAGACCUUGAUGAGCUCAAAGCAACAGUCUCCUGCCUGUUGUACUUGAGAGUCCUUGCCUGUUGUCGAUCAAUCUGGUAUGCGUUAGCGAGGACCACGUCAGGGAGUGCCCGCAAGACUGAGGUCCGGCCAGCAAGAGUGUUAAUCUUAGCAUUGUCUUGGGUCUUGAAAGCAAUGUAUUCGAAUCCAUUGUUGCUAGCCUUAUGCAACACUGCAUGGUUCUGUGGCACAAUGAAGAGCUGGCCCUGGCGGACCUCGUUGUCCAAGAUGGCCUGGCCGUUGUUGUUCACAACCUGAACCCUAGCACUACCUCUAAUGACGUAGUAGACUUCAUGGGCGUUCAAGUUCCAGUGAGGACUGUAGAUAGCAUUCUGCAAGUACCACAAACAAGAUUAGUAAUCAUAAUCAAUAACCUCAAUUGAUUCAAAAGGACCUAUAUCGUUGAUUAUAUAUACUUACGUUAUAGAAGAAGCCUCUCUCAGCGCUGAGGUCAAGGUGCCUGAGAAUAGGCAACUUAAAGCUGUUGAGGGUGCUGAUGCGACCGGCUUGGGGACUGAAGACGUCAGCGCGUGAAGGCCUGCCGAUAUUCUCUUUGAUCCUGAAGUUGCAGAAUGUCUCCUCAAAACCAUUCCGUCCUUGUCCCUGUUGUCUCUGAAUUCCCUGUUGUUGUCUUUCCUCCUGUUCUGACUCUGCUGGCUGAACAAAGUCGAGACGUCCUUUAACUCUCACGAUUUGGGGUCUGUUGUCGUUCUGUCCCUGAAGCUGCUGGGCAGUCUGUUGAUCAAUGUUCAGAGCGUCAGCGAGGAGCUGUGUGUUGAAGCCGGCGAAGAUGUUCUUGUUGUUUCCUUCUUGUUGCUGGUGCCUGCUCCUUCCUCCUUGCUGUUGCUGGUGCCUGCUCCUCUCUCGUUGCUGUUGCUGGUCCUGGUCCCAUUGACUUUGUCCUUGCUGGCCCCGACGACUCUGGCUUUGCCCGUGUUGGUUAAACUCAUCUUGUGGAUUACCAGCCAGAUAGAAUCUCUACAUACAUAACACAUCAUGCAUGUGAUCAGAAAAAACUAGCAAGCCAACAGUAAGAGUGCUAUUGUACCUCCACAAAAGAAAAUAUAUACAUAUCACAUUUGCUAAUUAAUUUACCCUGGGGUUACGGUCAAGCUGGUUUUGUUGGUUGCCGAUAUCAAGAAGAUUGACAGCAACAAGAGGUUGGUCACCGUCGUUGUAGGACCAGUAGGUGACUCCAGCAGGAAUAGCAAUCACAUCACCUUCUCUGAUGCGUUGAACCUUCUGGUGUCUGUCUAGCUGCUCGAAACUCUCUUGUCCCUGUUGGCUGUGCCGCCCUUGUUGUCUAUGACGACUUUGCUGUCCAGGGCCUUGUUGCCCUCGUUGACCACGGCCUUGUUGUUCAUACUCUUCCUGUUCUUGUUGCCCGCGGCCUUGCUGUCCAUGGCGCCCUUGCUGGCCUUGCCACUGUUGUUGACCUUGUUCUUCAUCAGAUUGCUCAGAUUCUUCAAAAGUUUCAGGACAGCCAGGGAAAACAGUUGAUAGAAAACCAUUGCCUACAGGGUAUAAAUGAAUGAUUUUAACCACAUACGUACUUGUAUUCAAAAAAUUUAUACUAAAUUUAACCAAUUGCAUUUAUACAAUACCUUGCACUAUGUAAGUGAGUUGUGGAGCAUGGGAGUAAGAAGGCAAGUGAAGGCCAUUUCUUUCUAUGGUAAUUCGUUGAACGGCAACACCAGCACAUUGGAAAUCGUCCUGGUUGUAGUCCCAGGAUUCGAUCCUACCCGCUUCAGUCUCAAUGCGGUUAUCAGGUUCACGGGCUUGGAGCUGAUCUAAUUGGCAUUCAUUUCGCUGGCUCGACUGAAAUUGUUGGUGAGCUGCUAAGCAGCUCUGGAAGAGGACAAGCAAACAGAGAGAAAAGGCGAGAGCUAUAGGCUUAGCCAUAGUGAUGAUCAGAGAGAUAGCUAGCUAGUUGUGGUGAAGCGGCGAGUAGAAGGUGUGGUAUUUAUAGGAUAGAGAAGGUGAAGAGACAAAAAUAAGUACAAUAACAUUAAAGAUCUGAAGCCGUUCUUCUCUUUGCAUGGCAAUAGCAAUUUACAUUCUUCCACCUCAUUCCUUCCAGGGCAGGUGGCUCAUGACUUCAGAGAAGAUACAAAGUGCUAUGAAUAAGGUGGCAACCAGAAGCGGUUUGCAAUUGUCUGCAAGUGAAGCAAAAUUUUACACCCUUGAACCUGGUCCCAAUACAGGGAAAAAUUAAUGAGAGAAGUCAGAUAAGUUCGUUCUAAAUUUGGUAAAAUGAUAUUACAUCAGCCCCAACCUGAUGAACAUCUUCUAUGAUCCAGACAAGGUUCAAAAAUGUAAGAUCUCAUCGGAAAAAAAAUGUAUGUUAGAUAAGUACUGAAUGAUGUGUCAGGAACCUCAAGACAUUUUUCUAUAUGCAAUUUAUCAUUGUUUCACAUUCUUACAGCUCAUUUCUUUGACCAGGUGGCUUAUGGCUUCAGAGAAGACUCAAAGUGGCUUGAACAAUGUGUCAACCAGGUGGGAAUGACAUGAUUUUCAAAUGCAGCAAAGAUUUACUGCCGUGAAUAAUGCAAAAUUAAUUAUACAAACAAGAUCUAUAGCUGUUCAAUGCAUAGUUUGGAAAAGUAAAAUCAUACCAACACCAACCUGAUAAACUCAUCUAUGAUGCAUGCAUGGUGAAAAAUUAUAACAUUUUCAUCUUUCCUACAGUAAUCAGCAUAGUCUAUCCUUUCAUGAAUCAAAAUUAAUACUUCAAGUCUAUGCACAUAAAAUCUUACUAAAAAUAAUGCAGUUUAGUGGUUUAUAUAAGUUUCUUUGCAAACAAAUCUGAACUCCAUCACUAUUCUUGAAACUACUGUGACCCAUCAACGUUAUUACCUCAGCUAUCAACCAUUCUCAUGUCAUAAAGAUUCAGAAUUUGCAAUAUUACUCCUAGAAGUUCUCUGUUCAUCUACAGAAAGGAGUCUCGUAGAAGCUACUGUUGUGAUAGAAGCUAGGAUAGCUAAUGCUGCAAAAUUGAUCUCCGAGAAGCUAUUGUUGUUAAAAUCCCAUCUCAUAAAAUUUUCUCCUGUUUCAAAAAUUAAAAAAUAUAAAAAAUUGUCUCCCUUUGAUUAAAGCACCCUGAACACCAGAAAUGGUGUCACUUAAAACCUCUCUCAAUCUCCAAGCUAACACUUUUGCGAUAAUUUCAUACAAGCUUGAUAAUCAAGCUGUGGACUUCUGUAGAUGAACAGAGAACUUCAAGGAGAACUACCACUUUUGGACUAAUUUUACAACCAAGACUUUACUUCUACUACUUUGUUAUAAAAGAUUGCAAGGCAUCAAUAGACGAUAUAUAGUUGAUAAGACUGGAUGCAAUCCACUCAAAUGCAUUUCAAAAAACUAUAUUCAAUGAGUAAUUUGAGUUGUUUUUUUCUUCCAACUCAAAAACUUGAACAAACCUCGAUUCUAAUACUCUAAACAAAGAAUUUAACCCGGAAUCGAAAGAUCAAUACUGAAAAACAUAAUCUGAUACAUAAACAUGUGUUAUCAUUUGUAAAACAUCAGAUACAACCUAUUUGCACAAAAUGGGUUACACAUCUCUAACAAAGGCUUAGACUUUAGAUAUCAAAAGAAUUCCAAUUUGUCCUCUUCUACACAAUUCUAACAAAUGCUCAAGUCCUUUAAGGCCUUGUAUUUAGAUGCUAAGAAGAGUAAAAAAUGGGCCUAUUGGCAGGAUUUAAAUUGAAAAUCUUGAUUUAAAAAUGGUUGAAUUCCAGAUCAGUCUACAGAGAAUCUAGUAAUUCUAUGCUUCAAAAACUCAUUUGCCCCUCUUUAAAUCCUCACAAUGUGGGGUUGAUUAGCUUCCUUUAACCAAGAGUAACAUGGUUCUAUGAAAAACAAGCAUUAAUGAAUCAAACAGAGAUCACAACACAAUAACAAAUAGAUCAAACUUUGAAAUCAACUAAUAUUAGACUCCCAAAUUCCAAGUUCAAGUAGGCUGUUGUUGAAUCACGCGUUACCUCGCGAAGCGAGUCUCGCUUCCCACGACGUUGCAUUUCUUGCUCGUCGGCGUAUGACGCCGGAGAAAACGAUUCGGCGACCACGUCUUCCAUUUUUCCCUUCAUUUUCUGAUCCUGGUUUGCUCUCUGGUUUUCUACCUAUUGUGUUGGGCUUUAUUACAUACUUUUGGGUCCUUUUUCCUUUUAUUUUUCUUUUUCUUUCAUUUUAAAAGUCGAAUAGUUUCCUAAUAUUUCGAAAAAUUAAAAGUCGAGUACCUCACAGUAUCUAGUUUUUAUUUGAUAAAUCAGUAUCUAGUUUUUUUUUUUUAAGAAAGAGCUUCUAGUUUUCAUAUUCAUUUGAUAAAUAAAAGUAAUUUUAACCUCUCGUGUGCAUUUAAGUUGUCUAUUAUGGUGAGAAAAGUUUCCUAAAAGAAAACUAUGGUGAGAAAAACAAGAGCAUUCGAAAUGAGAAGAACAUGAAGGUGGAUUUGAGAGGAGCCAAAACGCGAAUCAAAGGAAGAAGAAAGAGAUUUCAUUAGAAAAAAGUGUAACGCGAAUCAAAGGAAGAAGAAAGAGAUUUCAUUAGAAAAGAGUGUUUGAGACUACAAGUAGAGUAGCUAUUUAUUAACUUGUGGCAUUAGAUCUCUCUCCUAGUACCACGAGACCCAUAUAAAAGGCUACUUUUAUUGAUUAUCUACCUCUUAGCUUAGCAAGUACCACAUUAACACUACAUGCCGCUAAAUUUUUCAUUUGCUCCCAUCAGUAUCUCUAGAACUGUGAGGACCUUGAUGAGCUCAAAGCAAGAGUCUCCUGCCUGUUAUACUUGAGGUCCUUGCCUGCUCGCGGUCCAUCUGGUAGGCGUUGGCGAGGACCACGUCGGGGAGUGAUCGCAAGACGGAGGUCCUGCCAGCUAGAGUGUUGACCAUGGCAUUGUCAUUGGUCUUGAAGGCAAUGUACUCGUACCCGUUGCUCUGGGCUUUUUGCAACACGGCGUGGUUUUGCGGCACGAUGAAGAGUUGUCCCUGGCGGACCUGGUCGUCCAAGAUGGUCUCACCGUUGUCGUUCACCACCUGAACCCUGGCGCUACCUCUGAUGACAUAGAUGAUCUCAUGAGCAUUCAAGUUCCAGCGGGGGCUGUGGAUAGCAUUCUGCAUGUACCAUUACCAGAUAAAUUUCAGGAUUAAUUGAUCAAUAGGUAACUAAAUUUAAUUAUUAGAAACAUACAUGCUAGAAUACUCACGUUGUAGAAGAAACCUCUCUCAGCGCUGAGACGGAGGUGCCUGAGAAUAGGCAUGCUGAAGCUGUUGAGGGUGCUGAUGCGACCGGCUUGUGGGCUGAAGACGUCAGCCAUGGAAGGCUUGCCGAUGUUCUGCUUGAUCUGCAUGUGGCAGAAUACCUCCUCAAAGCCAUUCUGGCGGCCCUGUUGUCCUUGCAGUUGUCUUUCCUCCCUCUGUGACUCUGGUGGCUCGACAAAGUCGAAACGUCCCUCAACCCUAACAAUUUGUGGCCUGUUGUCAUUCUGUCCCUGGAGCUGCUGGACAGUCUGUUGGUCAAUGUUGAGAGCAUCGGCGAGGAGCUGGGUGUCGAAGCCGGCAAAGACAUUGUUGUUGUUGUUACCCUGCUGUUGGCGCCUGCUCCUUCCUUGUUGUCGGCCUUGCUGUCCCCGUUGGCUUUGGCCUUGUUGUCCUUGUUUCCACCAUUGGCUUUGGCCUUGUUGGUUGAACUCAUCUUGCAUGCGGGUUACCAGCAAGAUAGAAUCGCUACAAAUAGAGAUCAAGCAGCAAGCAUUGAGUGAGUUAACAAUGUAAAAUAAGUUGUUAACUUCAUGUUUAGAGUAAAAUUGUCAGUAAAAAGGUGUACCCUCUUGGGUUUUGGUCAAGCUGGUUGUGGUUGUUGCCGAUGUCUAGAAGAGUAACAAAAACAAGAGAUUGAUCACCAUCGUUGUGAGUCCAGGUUGUGGCUCCGGCGGGGAUUGCGAUAACAUCACCUUCCUUGAUGCGUCGCACCCUCUGGUGUCGGUCUAGCUGUUCAAACUCUUGUUGGCCUUGCUCUCCGAAUUGCCCUUGUCGACGUCCGUGUCGCUGGCGGUGGCCUCCGCCUUGUUGGCCUUGCCAUUGUUGUUGCUGUUGUUCUUCAACAGAUUGCUCAGACUCCUCAAAUGUCUCCGGACAGCCAGGGAAUACCAUCCCUAGAUGACCCCUACCUACAGUAGUGUCCAAAAAUAGCAAGCUAAACACAUGCUUAAACACCACUAGGUGCAAUUUACUGAAUAAUAAAUAACGGACUGUUUUGCACUUUACCUUGUACAACGUAAACAAGCCUUGGUGUGUUAGUGUAGGAAGGCAAGUGAAGGCCAUUACGCUCAAUGGUGAUUCUUUGAACAGCAACACCAGCGCACUAGAAGUCAUCCUGGUUGUGAUCCCAAGACUCGAUGCGACCUGCUUCAGUCUCAAUACGGUUGUCAGGCUCGCGGGCUUGGAUCUGGUUCAGCAUGCACACAUUUUGCUGGCUGAACUGAGAUUGUUGCCGACUGGCUAAGCAGCCUUGGAAGAGAACGAGCAAGCAAAGAGAAAAGGCAAGAGCUAAAGGCUUGGCCACCAUUGUAACAAUCAGUGGUAGAUAGCUAGCUGUGGGUUGUGGUGAAGCGGCGAGUAGAUGGCGUCGGUAUUUAGAGGAGAGAGGAGGAGGCGAGGAGGAGAAAAAUACAAGGGAUGAGAUUCUCUUUGCAUGCUAUUAGUAUCUCAAAUUCAUACACCUCAUCUUUAUACCUGGGCAGGUGGCUAUUGGCUUCAGAGGAUAUAUAUACAAAGUGCCGAGAACAAUGUGGCAAACAGGUGGGGGGUGGUCAUGAUUGUCUGCAAGUAAAGCAAAUUGUACUGCCUUGAACCUGGUCAAGUUCAUGAAAAAGUUCAUUCAAGAUAUCAGGUCUAAUCUGUUUCAUGUUUGGUAAAGUAAAUAGAGUAGCAACCUGGACCAUAUAUAAUCUACACAGGUGAGAUAAAAAAACCUUAAUUUACCAUCAUGCAAUAGCCAGAAUCCAUCUUCAAUCCUCUAUGAUUCUAUUAAGACUUAAAGCACAUUUACCCUCUUCAAGAAUUCACAUUCCAGCACUCUUCUAAAUGACUCUACUUGAUGAAAUUCAAAGUACCUCUCGCUAUAUUCUGGGAAUUACUGUGAUCAUCAGAGCAAUUACCUCACCUAUUAACUCAUAGUAUGCUUGAGCUAAUGUGAGAUCAUUCCUUAUAUAAAUGAGAAUGCAAUGCCUAACAUAAGUUUUAUGUGUAUAAUACAAUCAUAAGAGACUCACUGAUUACAAUUAUAUGAAAUAUAUGAAACAAAAGCACAGAAAAUAGACUUCUGGAAAAAGAACAUAUUUCUACAAGUGAAGGCUUAUUAUUUACACUAGUCUCACUGAUUUCCAUUUGGCUCUUCUGACCAAAUAGACUUCUGUAAAAAGUACAACAUUUGAGCCCAUGAUCACCCUCUACUUGGAAAUACCAUUGAUUCUAAAACAUAGUCCUUACAGUAUUUGUGGGAACUAGAUUAUUGGGUCAGUUUAGCUAAGAUUAAACUGUUAACAAAACCAAGCUUUAGAACCCAAUUUAGCAAAAUGAACAUACAAUAGUGUCACACCCCGGACCGUGGUUUCCAAGCACCAGACGCCGAACCCGAGGCGUGAGCGGGAAAAAUAAAAGAAAAUAAAAUAAUUUCAAAUACUUUUCCAGAAAUUGUUAAAAAAAAAGAAAAUAAAAUGUUUUACAAUAACAAAACAAUUACAAAGACAAUAAGAUGAGCCCUUGCGAUCUAGCUCAUUUUUAAUCUUUCGUAACUCUUUUCUACUCUUGUACACGUCUCCUAAACUUCAUAGUCUCGAAAUACGUUCCUCGUACGUACCUGAACAAAAGUCUAUAGGGAUGAGCUUACGCUCAGUAGGGCCAAACCUUUUUAGGUUAUACUUAACUAGGUUGCACAAACAAGUUAUCAAGCAAUGUCAAACAAUACUUUAAAUAAAUAACGGCAAUUCGAUGCAUGUAUGCUAAUGAAUGUCUUCCUCAAUUACUAGCUAUCAGUCCAUACAUCAAAGAUAAGUGAGCCUACACGUCUCAUACCGUGUAUUUUACCAACCGGGGAUAACUCAAAUGUCUCGAAUAUAUGAUCUAACAAUCAAUAAAAUCUCACCACCUGUACCUCUUUUGUUAGUCAUCUUGUUAUAUUCAUGGUCUCCAAACCUGAAACCCGAAGAUCGUUUUAUCGAUGUCCGCCAUCGAAGGGGCAUAUAUACUUUCCCCACUCAUUUGCGCAUGUGGGCUGGCAUGGAUUCAUGGACAACCCAUGAGAAAACUCAACUACACAAAAUGUAUAUAUUCUCUAAAUCUCAUUCUCCUCUCCAUAAUCAUCAUUCUCACCAUUCUCACAAUUCCUCACAAUGUUUUACACACUACAAGGACAAACACUUUAGCCGACGAAAAAGUUUCGUCGGCCUGUUAGCUUAAUUUGUCGGCUAAGAUUUCGUCGGGAAAAGGUCGUCGGCGAUGACUUUAGCCGACGAAAAAAGAAGACGUCGUCGGCUAUAGUCCCACAAUUUAGCCGACAAAAAACAUGUCGUCGGUUUUUUUCCCAGACUUUAGCCGACGAAACAAUAAGAUAUUCGUCGGCUAAAGUGUGUAAUAAAAAAUUAAAAAAAUAAUUAUAGCCUACCAAAUAUAGUCUGUUUCGUCGGCUAAACCUUAUAAAAAAAUUAAAAAAAUAACUAUAGCCGACGAAAUAUAGUAUGUUUCGUCGGCUAAACCUUAUAAAAAAAUUAAAAAAUAAAUAUAGCCGACGAAUAUAGUAUUUAAAUAUCGUCAGCUAAAGUUGCUGGUUUUUGAAAAAAAAAACUGCAGAAACUUUCGGCCAACUCCAAUCACCACCAAAAUUUGAUAGAAUCUUCCUCUCAACAUUUCAAACAACUUUCUAGAAGAAGUCGAAUCCCAAUUCUAAACCUAAACAGGUCAAUUGAAUCAAAAUAUAAAAAUCCCCAAUUUUAAACCCUAAAAACUUCAAAUCUUUGAUUCUCCUCACACACACCGAAUCGAGCUACCAAAUUCUAGGGGAAUGUAGUACUAAUCAAACUCAACUUAUCCAUAUAUAGAACUCACCAAAUGGUGACCUGAGGAAUGAGAAAUUCGAUCGACACCGAAUCCAAACCGGCGGAGUUUUGGAGCUCGAUUUAUCCCUCACGGCGGCGCCACUCGAUGCACCACCUAUCCAGCAAUGAAGUAGAGACAACGACGAAGCUUUUGGGACAAGUGUGGCGGUCUCCAGUUGCUUGACGGCAGAGCUAGGCCGAGAAGAAAAUCCGGAACUUUUUCUGAUUUUCUGACUUCUUACCAUCCACCUCUGGUAAAACUCCUAUAUAAAGAACUUUACCCGACGAAAUUCUUUAUUUUCGUCAGCUAAACUCUUUUGAAAAUUUUUGUUGACCGCCAAAAAAUUUGGUUGAAAAUUUUAAAAAUUUUUCGACUUUAGCCGACGACUUUUCAUAUAUUUUCGUCGGCUAAAGUCCUUUGAAAAUUUUCCUCCAAAUUUGGUUUACCGCCAACAAAAUUUGACCUUAGCCGACGACUUUUUUAGUAUCUCGUCGGCUAAAGUCUAUAAAUUCACGAAAACGCUCAUAUCGAUCUCCCUCUAUAUUACGUAGUUUGGUCAAACAUUCCACACGAAAAACUUUCACAUAGAUGAGACGCAACCGCCUAUAUAAAAAUUUUGAGACAUUUACCUUCCGACGAUAGGGCUCCCCAUAGGGAAUAAUAACGGUAAAUAGGGUUAACCGCUACUAUCGGCACCGAGACGUUACCCAGUUUACGUGGAUUUUGAACCAUAGCCGUAAUUCAUCAUUCUGAACACAUCUUAUUUCACAAGAUUUUUGAUAAUUUUGCUUCCUAUGUUGUAUAACCUACUAAACAAGUUAUACAACAUUACUAGACACGUGAUUCCGAUGACUAAAAUUCACAAACCAAAAUUCGACCAUCAGAUAUGAUCAUUAUGACGAAAGAUGUCUAUAGUAAAAAAUUUAACUGGAUUCGACAACGUUAAGGGCUCGAUCGAAACGGUCAACUCUAAUCGGAAAUAAGAAAACUGCAUUUUGAAGCCCUAAACGGACUCGGAUGGCCAAAAAGGCCCAUAUGUGAUGGCAUAGCGAUGAGUUUGACUCGUAGGGCCGUUACGCUUCUAGAAAUGUAUCACAAUAGUCAAUCGGACGCCGAAUGCCAAAUCUGCAGCAUAAUUAAUACCGGGUUUCGACUGUUCUACAUCAGAGACGUUACCCGAUUUACGUGAUUUUUGAACCAUAGCCGUAUUUCACCGUUCUGAACACAUCUUAUUUCACGAGAUUUUUGUUAAUUUUGCUUCUAUGUAGAGUUGGUUCACAAAGUUGUGUAUUUGUUUAAAACCUACUAAGCAAGUUAUACAACAUUUUAUUGUUUUUCUUUUAGCCGACGACUUUUAUCGAUAAUAGCCGACGAGUAAAAAUAUUGGCCAACGAAGGAAAACUUUUUGGUCGACGAAAAAAAAAUUUCGUCGACUAAAGUAUCGUAUAGCCGAUGAAAAAAUUUCUUCAGCCGACGAAAAUUUAAAUUAGCCGACGAAAAAAUAAUUCGUCGGCCUGGUUUUUUUAUUUUCGUCGGCUAAAACCUUUCUUUUGGUAGUGACACAUGUCAAAUGAAUAUCAAUACACGUUAUAUUAUUUUAAACAACAUGUUUUUUACGGAAAACGAUAACAUCAAUCAUAUAUAUCAACAAAUACACAUGUUUUUAACAAAACAAUAACAACCAAGAGUUAUCACUCAAUGACAAACAAAACAUCCAUUUCAAUUAUAAUCUAAUUAUCAAUUUAAGAAAGGUUCCCCGAGAAAGACCCUACCUGGAAUCCAAAUGCUACUUCCGACGCUAGCUAAAAUUAGUAACUCUGCUGAAAUCCUUAUCCUGCUACUUCUGCAAUCCAGCUACUCGCAUUCGAUCCUCGUACCGAAUCCUCAUUCCAAGAAUAUUGACAGACCACUUCAAAUCAGCUUGAUCUAAUUCUGAAAUUUACUAAGGACACCCAAGUCCUUACUUCCGAUUCUUCGACAUUCACUACUUAAUUCUCUCAUAGUAUCCAAACUCACAAUUGUGCUCCAAAUACGAAAUCCAUCUCCAAACACCAACCCAACUUCAAAUAGAAGUUAAUAUUUUUAUCUAAAAUUACUCUCUACACCCAAAACUCCCAUUAUAAAUCUCAAUACAGCUUGAUCAUCCUUCCCUCUUCUCCUUUGCACCAUUUCACAAUAUCUUCCUUGUAGACCCAACAAGCAAACCUCCAGACUUGUUCAUGAUGAACAUGUUCAUAUACGAGCACUUCCAUUACAUAAAUUAAAAUCAUUCUUCUACUUCCACAACUCUCAAACAUUAGACCAAACAAUUGUAACAACCACUGUUCUAACACUCGAGCCACAAUCAGCCUUCCAAUCAUCCCCUUCUCUCUCUUUUGAACGUUCAAGAAGCAUCAACACCAAUUCAAGUUCCUGAGCAAAGCCAGCACCGCCAACAACGCCACCACACACGGCAGCCGACGACUGCCCCGAAAUCAUCAACUCCUCCAAUCUCAAAUUCAAUUACAACCAACCAUGAAAUUAUAUUUUAAAGCCUCUAUCAAUAUCAAAGAUAGCUAAUCCAAAACCCAAAACAUUAUCAACGCCGCCGUGCACAGCAGCCGCGCACGGUGGUCGACUGCCCAAAUUCCACCUUCUUCCAAACAUAACCAAAUAUGAAUUCCACUUAUAUAAACAGGUAGAGCUCGACGAGAAGAUCAAGUUUCAUACCUCACUUGUCAUCGACGGUGGCCUGAAAGUUUCGAACCCUCGCCGGAAAACUCCUUGAGCUUUAAUUAAUCGAUUCUCACUCAUGGAGGCUCCUCUUAAUAUACGAACAUCAUGGAAGGGUUUCUGACAUCGAGACGAAGCUUCAGCUAUCGAUGAGAGGCGUCGACGCUGCCGGAAUCGAAAGUUGACCCGCGAACCCAGCCUCUCUUUCUCCCCUUCGAUUCUCUUACCCGACCUCUUCUGAAGAAACUGAGGACAUAGGGAAGACCACGAGAACGAGAGGAAGCUACCAAUACCCGUCACACUCGCCGUCGUGGCCGAAAUCACGAACUCGACCGGAAACCCAGAAAUUCUUCUCCUCCUCGAUUCUCUCUCUCCUCAGCUUUCCAUGGAAAUCCAACAUCACAAUCGUGUUGGGGACGACUAGACGGAGCUUUUGACACCGGUCUUGCACCGGGAAAUAGCUGGACCACAGAGGAAGGAGCUGAGCUCCGUCGCUGCAGAGCAGCUCGAGACCGAGUCGGUCUAGGCUUGUACUGAUCCAGUCCAAACUAAUCCCCUGUAUAUACAUACCUAAAUCGAUGGCCUAGAUCUAGCGGCUUAAGAGAUCCAACAGUCUAGAUCAUGUCAGCAAUAAGUCUAUUUUUAAUUAAAUUUUUAGAUAAUACAAACUUCUAAAAAUCAUUAAAAAUAGCUCUGAUGUCCAAAAAUACUUCCGUAAAAUUCUACAAACUCAUAACGACGUCUAGGUUAAUCCUAUGGGCUCGAAAGACAAAAUCGACAAACUAAAAAUUUGAAUAAUUUUCAACAAGCCACAAAAAAUUAAAAGAAUAAUAGAAAUCGAAAUAAAAAUAGCUCGAAAAAUAAUUUUCCUUUUAAAAAUAGAAAACUGAAAUUCCAGGAUGUUACAAAUAACUUCAGGAUUUCAAUUACAUGCAAAAGACAAGAGUUAGCAAGUAACUAAACCUUGGAAUUUAGAAUUUAAAUUUCAAGCCAGUGGUUAUUGUUGAACCUGUUACGAAGGAAAUGAAGCUCAGUCGACUGUGUGAUCGUCCGGUGUGGUUCACCUGAGUACCGUCGCUUGAUACAUUGAUCGGUUCCAUCUUACUCCGCAUUCCUAAUUGCCCGCUUCUCACUGGUGGCUGUCGUUUUCGUUUCUUUCGAAUAUGAAUUUUGUGUUGGGCUUUCGCAACUGUUAUUUGGGCCUGUAUACAGUAGUAUUAUCUCUCUCUCUCUCNNNNNNNNNNNNNNNNNNNNUAUUAUCUCUCUCUCUCUCUCUCUCUCUCUCUCUCUCUCUCUCUCUCUCUCUUUUCAAUAACCUGUCUUUUCUUUUUUAUUUAGAGAAGAUUCUACAACUUUUUGUUUCAAGACAUCUUUAUUUAUUUAUUUAGAGAAGAUUAUUUAUGAGGCUAUGUCAAAGAGAGAGCUUCUGCGACUGGAGUAGUUGACAUACCAUAGUUGAACGAAGCUACAACCCAUGGAUGGUCGUUAAUUGUUGGUGCUAAUCACGAAUCCCUCAACUGCAGAGUUUCUCCUGACCGAUCUAUCAAAGUUGAUUUUAACCCUAUCCCACAACCACUAUCCGGUUGCUGAAGCUCUAGCUCUGCGCAAUAGCCUCGUGUAUGCUAAUUAAAGAGCGAGGCUUCUCCAAGAUUGAAGUUGAGGGCGAUUCUAAGUUGGUGAUUGACGCCGUGAAUGGAGUGUCGACCCCUCUGUGGAAGUUACUCAAACUAAUUCAUGAUAUCAAAGUCUUGAGUAAUUCCUUUGAGUUUGUAUGCUUUCAGCAUGUGUUUAGGGAAGCAAACUUUGUGGCUAAUGCUUUAGCCAAUCUUAGAUAUAGGCUGAGUAACCUACGCUGCUAGGAGAAGUGUGUUCCCCCGGAAGUGUCUUCUGCUCUUGCCUUUGACAUUGUAAACCUUGGGUGCAUUAGAGACACCUCCAUCUAAUAUAUUUUUUUUUNNNNNNNNNNNNNNNNNNNNNNNNNNNNNNNNNNNNNNNNNNNNNNNNNNNNNNNNNNNNNNNNNNNNNNNNNNNNNNNNNNNNNNNNNNNNNNNNNNNNNNNNNNNNNNNNNNNNNNNNNNNNNNNNNNNNNNNNNNNNNNNNNNNNNNNNNNNNNNNNNNNNNNNNNNNNNNNNNNNNNNNNNNNNNNNNNNNNNNNNNNNNNNNNNNNNNNNNNNNNNNNNNNNNNNNNNNNNNNNNNNNNNNNNNNNNNNNNNNNNNNNNNNNNNNNNNNNNNNNNNNNNNNNNNNNNNNNNNNNNNNNNNNNNNNNNNNNNNNNNNNNNNNNNNNNNNNNNNNNNNNNNNNNNNNNNNNNNNNNNNNNNNNNNNNNNNNNNNNNNNNNNNNNNNNNNNNNNNNNNNNNNNNNNNNNNNNNNNNNNNNNNNNNNNNNNNNNNNNNNNNNNNNNNNNNCACUCUCUCUCUCUCUCUCUCUCUCUCUCUCUCUCUCUCUCUCUCUCUCUCUCUCUCUCUCUCCACCGUUGAGCAGCAACGAUUCUGGCAACACCGGACGGCGAGACCGCCACUGAAGUGAUCCUCUCCUCCUCCUCAACUCAGCCCAGUCCUUUAAUUCGGAAGACAUCCACUUUUGGCGGAGAUCGAUGGAGGAGGACGGUGACUAUCCUUCAUUGUUUUCCGGCGAGGGCUCAGGCUCCGAUCACUGAUCCACCUAGCGACGGUGAGUCCCUUCCUCCUCUCUUCCUUCUGCACAGUCUAGUGCUUUAUUUCCUUCAAAUCGAGACCUAACUCAGAAAUCCCCUUGUGUUUCUGAGUUUCUUGAGCUUCUUUUCCUGCGAUUGUGUUCUUCGUGUUCUGGUGGCGACCACGAGCUCCGACGAGCGUAGUUCAUCCUUGGAGAUGCCGGGACUUAGAGUUGGGAAGCUUUGGGGCAGUUGCUGUUGUGCAGCAUCGUGGCAAAGGGACUGCUUAUUGAUUUCAAGCAAGGAGAGGUUGCUGGGUUUGAGUGGUGUACAGAUUGGAGGUAAGGAGUUUGAUUUGGUCGGCUGUGUUGUUGUUUGUGUUGCGGUUAUUGAGUUGGAUUGUGACUAAAAUCAUUGUUGUGGUUGAUACUUGUCGAUGUCAAUAACUUGGUGAUAGGAGUUUAUGAGGAGGCUAUGGCAAAAUUCCGGUAAGUCGUCGGAAUCUGGCAAGAGAUUUCGACGAGGGCAGAAUCAUGCAGAGACUAUUGAGGUAGUUAUCGAUGUUUUUCCCUGCUAUUGUGUAUCGUUUCAAUAAUAGGAAAGUUUGUAGGUUGUAAUCGGAAAUCUUUCUAAGUGAGGAAAGUUUCUAUUUUAGGAAACUUUCCCUUUUUGGGAAACUUUCUAUUUAUGGAAACCCAUUGUUGGGUGCCCUUAGUGAUUUAUGGGGUGAAGUUGUGUUGAGAGGAAGUAUAUGGGGAUUGUAUGGGUGAAGAAACAAUUGUAAUUGUGUUGUAAUUGAGGAUUUCUCGGAUGAAGAAAUUGGAUAAUCGAGGAAUGGAUUUAGUGAAAAGGUUUGUUCUUAUUUAAGAUCUAAUUGAUUUCAAGUGAAGCAAAUAAUUGAUUUAUUAAAAUGAUUGUUGGAUUUGAAUUGGAUGGUUAAGAGUAAUCAAGGUAACCCGAAUUUUCAAGUCGAAGGUUAGAGUGGAAAAUGUUGAAACUUCGUUACUUGGCCAACCCUAAUUUAAUUGGUCAAUUUUGGUCAACUCAGGAAAUCUAGCCAAACUAGGAAGAAUUUGAAUCCAUGAUUAUUAUGGUGUUUGGUCUGACCGAUUUAUUCUUCUAUUUAUCGUCAGACGUGGGAUUGGCUAGAGAAUGUGAAUAGUUUGAGGCAGCGCUCGAGGAGUAUUCCGAGCAUUGGAAGACUUAGGCCUAAUACGGUGAGUGGACUUUUGUUUUAAAUAAUAUGCAUGCAAAUGGUUUAUUGUUGAGCAAUUUCUUUUGUUGGAGCAUUUGACGUCAUUUUAUUUUGACGAUUUCUUUUAUUUUGGAGAGUUACCGAAAAUGAGAUUUUCGGUGGAUAUGUAUAUGGAUUCUUAUGAGUAUAGUAUAAAUGCUAGCUAGCCUUACGUGUUUGGUCCGUCAUAAUAAGGUAAAAUUCCAUUAUGGCGUGACGUAAGUGUUAGACACAAGCGUCAUAGCCCUAUAUGAAAACUAUUUUCAUAUCUAGUUCAUAUAGAUUUUCAUAUAGGGAGUCCACACGUAUAUACACCCGUCCUCUUCGGUCAUAAUGAGGAAAAAUUUCAUUAUGGCGCGACGUGAGCGUUAGACGCAAGCGUCGUAGCCUUGUAUGAAUUUCUAUUUUUCUAUUUUGUUCAUAGAAUUCGUACAAGGAGUCUGACGAGUGUAAAUACAUACAUAUAUGUAUAGUUUAACCUGAGAUUCUGUAUUUUAUUAAGUUUUGGAGACUAGCUCAUGUAUUUGCCAGUUUAUGAGUUGAAAGCUUUUGAGCUGUCGCAUGCAGCAUAUUUUAUAUGGAAAUUAAAUUGGGGAAGCAUAAAGAAAUAUUGUUAUUAAAUUUAUUUUUGUCCACUCACUCUAACGUGUUUUCAAAUGUUUUCCCAUGCGCCAUUUGUUUUAAAAAUGCUCAGUAUGCAGGUUAGCUUAGUUGAGGUCGGGCGUACAUGAAGAAGAGACAUAGUCAAUAGUAUAGUUUCUGCUCAUUUCUAUAUUUCUAGUUCUUUUCUUCUCCAUUAGAGCUGUUCUGAACUGUGAUUGUUGGUUAUGGGAUUAUUCUUAUUAAGUUAGUAAAUAAAUUGGGAGAUGUUGUGAUUUGGGGAGCACGAAGGCUCCAGGAGUAGAGGGUUAUAGAUGGAUUUUUUCGAAGUGUUUGCAGGUAUUUCUAGGAAGGGUUGUCCAUUUUCAAGAGAGAUUAUGUCGAAUUUUCGGUAAAUUUUCCUUGGAGGUGGUCCCCGCAGGAUUUACUUCGGGUUUCAGGGUGAAAUUCGAGGUGGGUCCUGACACCAAGUGAGGAUUUUUAAAAAUGUUUAGGUGAUGUGAUAAUGAAAUUGGAAAAUAUCAAAUAACAAUUAAAACAUUCAUCUAACCAUUCAUUCAAAAGUCUACAUAUAAUUCUCGUUAUAAGUAGGAUGGCAAUGGGUAGGGUAGGAUACGGGGAUCAAAAUACCGUAUCCAUACCCUUUUACAUUUCUCAUCCCCGUACCCGUAAUUAGAUAAUGGGGAUUUCCCGUACCCGUACCCUUUGGGGAUUACGUUUCCAUACCCGUACCCGUACCCGUUAACAAUUAUGUAUUAAAUUAAAUUUUUUUUUAAAUACGAAAUACAUUAUAUAAAAGUAUGAAAUUAAAAUCAAAUACCAAAAUAAAUAAGUUUCAUGCUUCAAUCCAAUAAAAAUAAAUACAAGUUUUGGUUAAAACAGAACAAUACCGAUAAAUUUCAUUAAGAAAAUAAAAAUAUAUAAUAAAAAGGAAGGUCCGUUUAUUAAGAGAAUCACAAAUUUUUUUACAUAAAUAUUUAUUUAUAAAUUAUAUAUAAAUAUAUAUAAUAAAUUAUAUAAUUAUAUAUAAUAAUAUUUUCAUCCUUAAUAGGUGGGGAUAGGGACGAAUAUCAAAAUAUCAUACCCGCCCCGUACCCGAUUUAAGAAUCCGAAUACUGGGGAUCCCCAUCUCCAUUACCCAUUUAUAACCGUAUAUCUUCCUCGUUAGAGUCGAAUACCCGUGGGUACCCUACCCGCUAGGGAUUAUUGCCAUCCUUAGUUAUAAGGUUCUCAUUAGAAGUUUUCCCACUAAUGAAAUCGAAAAUUAGAAAGUCGCAACCUAGCUAUCUAUCAUGACGAAAACUAACAAAACCCGAUGAAGUAUCACACCAAGGAACUCUAGAUCUAACGUAUAUCUGUCUUUUGUGAUCCAAAAAACACGCGUACGACAUAUUACAUUGACUUACAACAUUUGGUGUACGGUAAUACCGUAUACCGUAUACCAUUUCCUAAACAUUUUCUCAAAAGUUAUACCAAGCACAACACCCAUAUAGGCAUAUUUAAGAAGUCCAAAAAGAAAUAAAGUUCAUUUUUCUCGGUCUUCACUAUCCGAUUUAAGUUUGUUUAACCCUAUACAGUCCAUUAUUUCAAGGAUCAAAACAAUUGAUAAUCGGAUUCGAUGCUAAUGAUCGACUUGGCUUUAAGGUGAUGGAAACCACUUCCAAUGGCCAGAAAAGACUUGAUUGGAGACUCCAAAAUAUAUAACUAGCUAGAUUCCGUAUUUCAUACCAAAUAGGAUCUCAAAUUAUAUAAAGUGAGAAAGCAAACUCAAACUAUCAAAAUGUUGUCGAAAUAUAUGGAUGGAGUUCUUGCAAAUUCUAUAUAUUUGAACCAAAGGAGAGUACGUACGUAGUACCUAUAGCUAUCUAAGGUUAGUCAGUUACUCAAUUUUAUUAGACUUCAUCAAUCGCUUUUCGUCUUUCACUCUAUAUAUGCCAUUUUGAAGUAGGUAUAACCAAGGAAAGGAAGUAGAAGAAGAAGGAAAUUUCAUUAUAAGCCAUACGAUUACAAGUGCAUAUAUAGUACGUAGUAGCUAGUUAUUGUCUUAGUGCGUUAGACCUCUCGUACUACAAGAGAGCCAUACAGGACUACCUUUAUUCAUUCUCUACCCCUUAAGCUAGCUUAGUGCCAAAACACUACGUGCCGCAUCAUAUUUUUACAUUUCGAUCAUCACAAUGAUUUAAGCAAUAGCCCAUCAGCUCUUCUGGGGCAUGGCAGCCGACCUUGAGGAGCUCAAGGCAACGAUCUCCUGCCUGUUGUACUUGAGGUUCCUAGCCUGCUGACGGUCCAUCUGGUAAGCGUUGGCGAGGACCACGUCGGGGAGUGAUCGCAGGACGGAGGUCCUACCAGCCAUGGUGUUGAUCAUGGCAUUGUCUUGGGUCUUAAAGGCAAUGUACUCGUAUCCAUUGCUCAUGGCCUUUUGCAACACGGCGUGGUUUUGCGGCACGAUGAAGAGCUGUCCCUGGCGGACCUGGUCGUCCAAGAUGCAGUCGCCAUUGUCGUUCACCACCUGAACCCUAGCGCUGCCCCUGAUGACGUAGUAUACUUCAUGGGCGUUCAAGUUCCAGUGUGGGCUGUAGAUAGCGUUCUGCAUUUACAACGUAUCAAUCACUUUUAAUUACUUAAGCUCAAACAAUUAAUUGGUAACUAAUUAAAAUGAACUAAUAAAUGCAUGGAAAAGAAUACUGACGUUGUAGAAGAAGCCUCUCUCAGCGCUGAGACGGAGGCGCCUGAGAAUAGGCAUGGUGAAGGCGUUGAGGGUGCUGAUGCGACCGGCUUGCGGGCUGAAGACGUCGGCCAUUGUAGGCCUUCCGAUGUUUUGUCUCAUCUUCAUGUGGCAGAAGAGCUCCUCCAUGCCGUUCUCUUCAUAUUGUCCUUGUUGUCCCUGCAUUUGUGUUCCUUGGAUUUGCCUUUCCUCCCUCAUUGACUCUGGGGGCUGGAUGAAGUCGAGGCGUCCCUGUACCCUAACAAUCUGUGGCCUGUUGUCGUUCAUUCCCUGGAGCUGCUGGGCGGUCUGUUGGUCGAUGUUAAGAGCGUCGGCGAGGAGCUGUGUGUCGAAGCCGGAGAAGACGUUGUUGUAGUUCCCCUGCAUUUGGUGCCUGCUCUUUCCUUGUUGUCUCCGGAUCCGUGGGCUUUGGCCUUGUUGGGUGAACUCAUCUUGUGGGUUACCAGCAAGGUAGAAUCUCUAUAUAUAAAGAGAGAUUAAGCAGCAACAAGUCAGUGAACAUUACCCUAAACUAUUUUUGGUACAUGCAAGAAUAUAUACUGAAUGAAAUGUGGUAAGAAAUUGUACCCUUGGGAUUCGGUCCAGCUGGUUGUGCUGGUUGCUCAUGUCAAGAAGACUGACGAAAACAAGAGGUUCGUUAGCGUCGUUGUAACUCCAGCAGGUGACACCAGCAGGAAUGGCGAUAACAUCACCUUCCCUGACGCGUCGGACCUUCUGGUGACGGUCGAGCUGAUCAUAGCUCUCUUGCUGGCCUUGCUGGCCCAUUUGUCCCUCUCGGCGUAUAAUCUGUUGCCGGCGGCCUUGUUGGCCUUGAGAUUGUCGUUGCUCUUCAACAGAUUGUUCGGUUUCUUCGAAAGUCUCGGGACAGCCGGGGAGAACCAUUCCUAGAUGACCCAUACCUGCAAUACUCAUAGCAAUAAGUUAACAGUCCAUCGACAAACGCUAGCUAGCUACAUGCAAUUUCGGUAUAACUAAUGAAGUGAUAUGAUAUUACCUCGGACGACGUAAACGAGUCGUGGAGUGUUAACGUAAGAAGGCAGGUGGAGGCCGUUGUUCUCAAUGGUGAUCUUCUGAACGGCGACGCCAGCGCACUGGAAGUCAUCCUGGUUGUAGUCCCAGGACUCGAUCCGACCUGCUUCAGUCUCAAUGCGGUUGUCGGGCUCGCGGGCUUGGAUCCGGUUCAGCAUGCACUCAUUUUGCUGGCUGAACUGAGUUUGUCGCCGACUGGCUAAGCAGCCGUGGAAGAGAACAAGUAAGCAAAGAGAGAAAGCGAGAGCUAAGUGCUUGGCCAUUGUGAUGAUCAAUGGCAGAUAGCUAGUUGUGGGUUGUGAUGAUGAAGUGGAGAGUAGAGCGUUGGUAUUUAUAGGAGAUGAGAGGAGGUGAGGGUGAGAAUAGUGCAAAUGAUGUGUAAGGAAUCUCAUGCCAUUCUUCUCUUUGCAUGGCUAUUAGUAUUUCACAUUCUUACACCUCAUUUCUCUUCCAGGGCAGGUGGCUCUUGGCUUCAGAGAAGGUUUAAAGUUAUAAGAACAAGGUGGCAACCAGGUGGGGUGGCCAUGAUUGUUUGCAAGUGAAGCAAAUUUCACCUCCCCGAACCUCGUGCAAUGCAUGAACUCGAAUAAUUAACUCAUGAAUCAGAUCUGAAACUGUUUCAUGUUCGUGAAGAAAUAUUACAUCAGUACCAUCCCGAACUAUCUAUAAUUUACGGAGGUGAAACAUAAGAUGAUAAGAACUUUAUCAUCUUCCAAAUAGUAAUAUCCAUAUUCCUUUACUCCCUUUGUAUGUAAUUCAAAUGUAGUAUUUAAGACUUUUUGAACAUUUUUCAAGAAUGAUCUCUGGACUCGGCGCGCUCUUAUGUAUAAGAGUUCCUUUACCUGCUAAUAAAUCUAAAUAACUUAUAUAUAUAUAUAAACGGAUUUUCUCAGCUGCGGACGUCCGCACCAAUUUUUUGGUGCGGAUUUCUAUUUUUUCAUCACUUUUCGAUCGAAUUUCCUCAUCUCCACCGUCUAGUAUCUAGAUAAUAUUGUGUAGAUCAUCUCUGCAANNNNNNNNNNNNNNNNNNNNNNNNNNNNNNNNNNNNNNNNNNNNNNNNNNNNNNNNNNNNNNNNNNNNNNNNNNNNNNNNNNNNNNNNNNNNNNNNNNNNNNNNNNNNNNNNNNNNNNNNNNNNNNNNNNNNNNNNNNNNNNNNNNNNNNNNNNNNNNNNNNNNNNNNNNNNNNNNNNNNNNNNNNNNNNNNNNNNNNNNNNNNNNNNNNNNNNNNNNNNNNNNNNNNNNNNNNNNNNNNNNNNNNNNNNNNNNNNNNNNNNNNNNNNNNNNNNNNNNNNNNNNNNNNNNNNNNNNNNNNNNNNNNNNNNNNNNNNNNNNNNNNNNNNNNNNNNNNNNNNNNNNNNNNNNNNNNNNNNNNNNNNNNNNNNNNNNNNNNNNNNNNNNNNNNNNNNNNNNNNNNNNNNNNNNNNNNNNNNNNNNNNNNNNNNNNNNNNNNNNNNNNNNNNNNNNNNNNNNNNNNNNNNNNNNNNNNNNNNNNNNNNNNNNNNNNNNNNNNNNNNNNNNNNNNNNNNNNNNNNNNNNNNNNNNNNNNNNNNNNNNNNNNNNNNNNNNNNNNNNNNNNNNNNNNNNNNNNNNNNNNNNNNNNNNNNNNNNNNNNNNNNNNNNNNNNNNNNNNNNNNNNNNNNNNNNNNNNNNNNNNNNNNNNNNNNNNNNNNNNNNNNNNNNNNNNNNNNNNNNNNNNNNNNNNNNNNNNNNNNNNNNNNNNNNNNNNNNNNNNNNNNNNNNNNNNNNNNNNNNNNNNNNNNNNNNNNUAUAUAUAUAUAUAUAUAUAUAUAUAUAUAUAUAUAUAUAUAUAGGUUUCAACCGCAAGAGGUUAGUUCAGCACUAGUAAAUAUAUAAUUACAUGGCACAUGGAAGUGAUGGAACAAAGAAGUGAUACGCAAAUCAUCAAACUAUCACAUACGGCCUGAAACUUUGUGCUAAUACGUACAUAUGCCCUUCAAAUAUCCCUUAAACUUGUCAUAUUGUCAUAUAUAUUGACAUGCAUUUCAUUUGCAUCAAUGCAGAAUCAAACCCUUCGUAUAAAAUAAAAAUAAAAAUGCAGAAUCAAACCCUGACGUUAAUACAAGGAUAUUAGUUCCUAUGUCACUAACCGAUCGAUUUGGUGCAUCAAGUGCUCACCCAUGUACAAUCCCAAACAUAUGAUUCAUAUGAUAUGAAAUAGGCCAUCACAACCGAGAACUCACCGCCCCUCCUCUAUUUAACCCUGAGCUUAGAUAUCAAUCAUAUGAAACGCAUUCAUUUCCACAAGUGAAUUAAAAACCUCUGAAGGCUUAAUUAGCCGUUUAGGGUUCAUAUAUGGAUCUCUCAGUAAUUUGAAUUUGGCCACUUAUUCGAUCUUGUCAAACGAAGGACGCAAGGCAAUCUUUAGCUACUAGUUGUCCUUAGCGAUGAUCAUUAAGCACGUACGUACAGUUUCUAUAAUAAACUUUCUUAUUUCUUUCUAUUACAAUGGUUUGAAGCUUUUCUGUGCUAAUUGAUUCGUAAAGCUCGAGAGUACGUAGCUAUAUAUAUCCCAAUCAUUAAGGACCCUAUUAAUCAAAGUGAACAAUUAGCUUCAGGAUAACUGAGUAGGAAUAAUGGAGUAGCACCGGGAAAUAAGUCGGAAAAUACGUUCGUCCGGACUAAGUACGUAUGUGUGCGUCCGGACUCUCUUUUAUUUACUUUCUUUUGUCAAUGCAAAUCAUAAUCUUAACCGUUCAAAAGUUGAAUUAACCUAUAUAGAUCAUCUCUACAAAAUUUCAAUGUAAACAAACAUCGUUUUCUUAGUCGAUUACAUUAAACAAAUUGACAGUUCUAGUGAAAGUUAACAGUCUCAUGAUCAGUCGUCCAUUUGUUUGAUACAUUCGGCUUAGAAAACAAUGUUUGUUUACAUUGAAAUUUUGCAGAGGUGAUCUCCAUAUAUAGGUACGUAAAUAAGAAAGAGUUCAGACGCACACGUACAAACUAGUCCGAACGCAAAUAUUUUCCAAAUAAACUAGUCCGAACGCAAGUAUUUUCCAAAUAAGUUAAAUGACAAAAGCCAAAGUUUACAAGUACAUAAGAUUAGACCGAGUGUAAUGAUAAAAUGCGUGCACCAAAUCGGAAAUUGAGACUGAGAAUAAGAUUAAACACUCUGUAGUGUGUACUUACGUAGAGUUUAUCUAUCAAACUUGUUGUCGAAUUUGCUUUGAGGCAAAACCACCUAGCUACUUCAAAUUGGCGUGUAAGAUGAUGCUUAUAGUUGUGGACUUGUGGGUAAUGAGUUGAGAUUAAGUUAGAGUGACUGCGAGAGCGGUAUGUUGGAGUCUUCAAAAUAUAACCCAUUUUACAUUUCUCCUAUUCUAUGAUUAUUCUUUUUUCUUAUCCUAUGUUCUAUAAGUAGAUAACACAAUUGUCAAUUCUUUUAUUUUUCUUCUCUGUUCUAAAAAAACAAAAGAAUGUCUAAAUGUUGAAUCAACCAUAUAACAAAUUAAGCAAUACACUAAAAGAAGCUGCAGCUACCAGCUUGCUUUGGUCAAUUUGUUAUAUACUAAAGAUAUACCAAUUAUUCAUCAACGUCGACUCGGGUCAACGUACCACAUAGAUAUGCAAUAUGAAAGGGAAGAGUAUAUCAUCAAGGCAAACCAAAAAAGUGAAAACUUCAUUAGAAAGCAUAACGUUACAAGUACGUACAUAUACGUAGCAGCUAGUACUAUAACUUAGUACAUUGGAUCUCCCAUACUACAAAAGAGCCAUACAAGGCACUUUUAUUCCCUCGAACUGACGAACUCUACCCCUUAGCUAGCUUGAUGCUAAAACACUACAUGCCGCAUCACAUUUUUACAUACAUAUAUUGAUAUAUUUAAGCACUAGCCCUCUCGGACUGGAAAGAUCUUGAGGAGCUCAAGGCAACAGUCUCCUGCCUGUUGUACUUGAGGUUCCUUGCCUGCUGACGGUCCAUCUGGUAAGCAUUGGCGAGGACCACGUCGGGGAGUGCCCGGAGGACGGAGGUCCUGCCAGCCAAGGUGUUGAUUAUGGCAUUGUCUUGUGUCUUGAAGGCAAUGUACUCGUAUCCAUUGCUCAUGGCCUUUUGCAGCACGGCGUGGUUCUGCGGCACGAUGAAGAGCUGUCCCUGGCGGACCUGGUCGUCCAAGAUGGUCUCACCGUUGUCGUUCACCACCUGAACCCUAGCGCUGCCCCUGAUGACGUAGUACACUUCAUGGGCGUUCAAGUUCCAGUGUGGGCUGUAGAUAGCGUUCUGCAUGUACCACAUAAUAACCAUAAUUAAAACUGCUAAAUUAAACUCCACCAUAACUUGAUUAGACUUAGUUGAUAGACAAAUCAAUAUGCAUGCAUAUAUACUCACGUUGUAGAAGAAGCCUCUCUCAGCGCUGAGACGGAGGUGCCUGAGAACGGGCAUGCUAAGGCCAUUGAGGACGCUGAUGCGACCGGCUUGUGGGCUGAAGACGUCAGCCAUUGAAGGCUUGCCGAUGUUCUGCUUCAUCUUCAUGUGGCAGAAUACCUCCUCAAAACCAUUCUGUCCUUGUCGUCCUUGUUGUUGUCUUUCCUCCCUCAUUGACUCUGGGGGCUGGAC
rnacentral:lncRNA from 1 species